AUUGAACGCUGGCGGCAGGCCUAACACAUGCAAGUAGAGCGGAGCGGCGGACGGGUGAGUAAUGCCUAGGAAUCUGCCUGGUAGUGGGGGAUAACGUCCGGAAACGGGCGCUAAUACCGCAUACUAUCAGAUGAGCCUAGGUCGGAUUAGCUAGUUGGUGGGGGAAAGGCCUACCAAGGCGAAGAUCCGGAACUGGUCUGAGAGGAUGAUCAGUCAAACUGGAACUGCACCACGGUCCAGAUGCCGACGGGAGGAAGAAGUGGGGAAUAUUGGACGAUGGGCGAAAGCCUGAUCCAGCCAUGCCGCGUGUGUGAAGAAGGUCUUCGGAUUGUAAAGCACUUUAAGUUGGGAGGCGUUACCAACAGAAUAAGCAACGGCUAACUUCGUGCCAGCAGCCGCGGUAAUAC
rnacentral:rRNA from 1 species